rfam:Xenorhabdus vietnamensis strain DSM 22392 Xvie_1, whole genome shotgun sequence.
UAGCGUAGUCAGACUUAUCAAUGAUCCGGUCGCUUGUCAGGAUCGCCCUCGGGCAGCGACACGAACACUCCUGUAGCCUGCAAGGGAGUACACAUUGUGUGGUACAUCUGCACCCCUUUGGAAGCAGAUAUCAUCGCUAUUGAUGAUGAAGGUUUUU